AACAGACAGAAACAUACAUUUGAAGUACUUUAACUCUGCUACGGGAUCUUCUAAAACCACAUUAGAUGGAGUAUAAUCAGGAACACAGUGAUAUUGCCAUUUCUACACUUCAAGUUCAGGUGGACGAUGUGAAAAAUAUCAUGACACAUAAUAUUGAAAAAGUUUUGGAAAGAGGGGAACAACUGAGUGAACUGGCAAAUCGAAGUGAUGAUCUCGAAACUGCGGCUCAUGGUUUCCAAAAAACUACUGCAAAGAUUGCAAGGAAGAUGUGGUGGAGAAACACUAAAAUGAUCAUAAUUAUUGUAGUAAUUGU